UACAGAGGUCUCAAGCGUUGUUCGGAUUUACUGGGCGUAAAGAGCGCGCAGGCGGUCGGAUAAGUCGAAUGUGAAAGCCCCCGGCUCAACUGGGGAGGGUCAUUCGAUACUGUUCGACUCGAAGGCAGGAGAGGGAAGUGGAAUUCCCGGUGUAGUGGUGAAAUGCGUAGAUAUCGGGAGGAACACCAGUGGCGAAGGCGACUUCCUGGCCUGUUCUUGACGCUGAGGCGCGAAAGCUAGGGGAGCAAACGGG
rnacentral:rRNA from 1 species